GAUUAAGUUAUUAAGGGCGCACGGUGGAUGCCUUGGCACUAGAAGCCGAUGAAGGACGUUACUAACGACGAUAUGCUUUGGGGAGCUGUAAGUAAGCUUUGAUCCAGAGAUUUCCGAAUGGGGAAACCCAGCAUGAGUUAUGUCAUGUUAUCGAUAUGUGAAUACAUAGCAUAUCAGAAGGCACACCCGGAGAACUGAAACAUCUUAGUACCCGGAGGAAGAGAAAGAAAAUUCGAUUCCCUUAGUAGCGGCGAGCGAAACGGGAAGAGCCCAAACCAACAAGCUUGCUUGUUGGGGUUGUAGGACACUCUAUACGGAGUUACAAAGGACGACAUUAGACGAAUCAUCUGGAAAGAUGAAUCAAAGAAGGUAAUAAUCCUGUAGUCGAAAAUGUUGUCUCUCUUGAGUGGAUCCUGAGUACGACGGAGCACGUGAAAUUCCGUCGGAAUCUGGGAGGACCAUCUCCUAAGGCUAAAUACUCUCUAGUGACCGAUAGUGAACCAGUACCGUGAGGGAAAGGUGAAAAGCACCCCGGAAGGGGAGUGAAAUAGAACCUGAAACCGUGUGCUUACAAGUAGUCAGAGCCCGUUAAUGGGUGAUGGCGUGCCUUUUGUAGAAUGAACCGGCGAGUUACGAUUUGAUGCAAGGUUAAGCAGUAAAUGUGGAGCCGUAGCGAAAGCGAGUCUGAAUAGGGCGUUUAGUAUUUGGUCGUAGACCCGAAACCAGGUGAUCUACCCUUGGUCAGGUUGAAGUUCAGGUAACACUGAAUGGAGGACCGAACCGACUUACGUUGAAAAGUGAGCGGAUGAACUGAGGGUAGCGGAGAAAUUCCAAUCGAACCUGGAGAUAGCUGGUUCUCUCCGAAAUAGCUUUAGGGCUAGCCUCAAGUGAUGAUUAUUGGAGGUAGAGCACUGUUUGGACGAGGGGCCCCUCUCGGGUUACCGAAUUCAGACAAACUCCGAAUGCCAAUUAAUUUAACUUGGGAGUCAGAACAUGGGUGAUAAGGUCCGUGUUCGAAAGGGAAACAGCCCAGACCACCAGCUAAGGUCCCAAAAUAUAUGUUAAGUGGAAAAGGAUGUGGCGUUGCCCAGACAACUAGGAUGUUGGCUUAGAAGCAGCCAUCAUUUAAAGAGUGCGUAAUAGCUCACUAGUCGAGUGACACUGCGCCGAAAAUGUACCGGGGCUAAACAUAUUACCGAAGCUGUGGAUUGUCCUUUGGACAAUGGUAGGAGAGCGUUCUAAGGGCGUUGAAGCAUGAUCGUAAGGACAUGUGGAGCGCUUAGAAGUGAGAAUGCCGGUGUGAGUAGCGAAAGACGGGUGAGAAUCCCGUCCACCGAUUGACUAAGGUUUCCAGAGGAAGGCUCGUCCGCUCUGGGUUAGUCGGGUCCUAAGCUGAGGCCGACAGGCGUAGGCGAUGGAUAACAGGUUGAUAUUCCUGUACCACCUAUAAUCGUUUUAAUCGAUGGGGGGACGCAGUAGGAUAGGCGAAGCGUGCGAUUGGAUUGCACGUCUAAGCAGUAAGGCUGAGUAUUAGGCAAAUCCGGUACUCGUUAAGGCUGAGCUGUGAUGGGGAGAAGACAUUGUGUCUUCGAGUCGUUGAUUUCACACUGCCGAGAAAAGCCUCUAGAUAGAAAAUAGGUGCCCGUACCGCAAACCGACACAGGUAGUCAAGAUGAGAAUUCUAAGGUGAGCGAGCGAACUCUCGUUAAGGAACUCGGCAAAAUGACCCCGUAACUUCGGGAGAAGGGGUGCUCUUUAGGGUUAACGCCCAGAAGAGCCGCAGUGAAUAGGCCCAAGCGACUGUUUAUCAAAAACACAGGUCUCUGCUAAACCGUAAGGUGAUGUAUAGGGGCUGACGCCUGCCCGGUGCUGGAAGGUUAAGAGGAGUGGUUAGCUUCUGCGAAGCUACGAAUCGAAGCCCCAGUAAACGGCGGCCGUAACUAUAACGGUCCUAAGGUAGCGAAAUUCCUUGUCGGGUAAGUUCCGACCCGCACGAAAGGCGUAACGAUUUGGGCACUGUCUCAACGAGAGACUCGGUGAAAUCAUAGUACCUGUGAAGAUGCAGGUUACCCGCGACAGGACGGAAAGACCCCGUGGAGCUUUACUGUAGCCUGAUAUUGAAAUUCGGCACAGCUUGUACAGGAUAGGUAGGAGCCUUUGAAACGUGAGCGCUAGCUUACGUGGAGGCGCUGGUGGGAUACUACCCUAGCUGUGUUGGCUUUCUAACCCGCACCACUUAUCGUGGUGGGAGACAGUGUCAGGCGGGCAGUUUGACUGGGGCGGUCGCCUCCUAAAAGGUAACGGAGGCGCUCAAAGGUUCCCUCAGAAUGGUUGGAAAUCAUUCAUAGAGUGUAAAGGCAUAAGGGAGCUUGACUGCGAGACCUACAAGUCGAGCAGGGUCGAAAGACGGACUUAGUGAUCCGGUGGUUCCGCAUGGAAGGGCCAUCGCUCAACGGAUAAAAGCUACCCCGGGGAUAACAGGCUUAUCUCCCCCAAGAGUUCACAUCGACGGGGAGGUUUGGCACCUCGAUGUCGGCUCAUCGCAUCCUGGGGCUGUAGUCGGUCCCAAGGGUUGGGCUGUUCGCCCAUUAAAGCGGUACGCGAGCUGGGUUCAGAACGUCGUGAGACAGUUCGGUCCCUAUCCGUCGUGGGCGUAGGAAAUUUGAGAGGAGCUGUCCUUAGUACGAGAGGAGCGGGAUGGACAUACCUCUGGUGUACCAGUUGUCGUGCCAACGGCAUAGCUGGGUAGCUAUGUGUGGACGGGAUAAGUGCUGAAAGCAUCUAAGCAUGAAGCCCCCCUCAAGAUGAGAUUUCCCAACUUCGGUUAUAAGAUC
rnacentral:rRNA from 1 species